UUGACCUCGAAUCAGGUAGGGAUACCCGCUGAACUUAAGCAUAUCAAUAAGCGGAGGAAAAGAAACCAACCGGGAUUACCCUAGUAACGGCGAGUGAAGCGGUAACAGCUCAAAUUUGAAAUCUGGCUCCCUGCGGAGUCCGAGUUGUAAUUUGUAGAAGAUGCUUUGGGUGCUUGGCCCGGCCCAAGUUCCUUGGAACAGGACGUCGUAGAGGGUGAGAAUCCCGUAUGCGGCCAAUGUCGGCGCCCGUGUAAAGCUCUUUCGACGAGUCGAGUUGUUUGGGAAUGCAGCUCAAAAUGGGUGGUAAAUUUCAUCUAAAGCUAAAUAUGGGCCAGAGACCGAUAGCGCACAAGUAGAGUGAUCGAAAGAUGAAAAGCACUUUGGAAAGAGAGUUAAACAGUACGUGAAAUUGUUGAAAGGGAAGCGCUUGCAACCAGACUUGGGCGUCGCUGAUCAUCCAAAGACACUCUUUGGUGCACUCGACGACGCACAGGCCAGCAUCGGUUGGAGUGGUGGGAGAAAGGUUGCCGGAACGUGGCUCUUUUCGGAGAGUGUUAUAGCCGGCGACGCAAUACCGCCUACCCCGACCGAGGACCGCGCUUCGGCUAGGAUGCUGGCGUAAUGGUUGUAAGCGACCCGUCUUGAAACACGGACCAAGG
rnacentral:rRNA from 1 species